GAUGAACGCUGGCGGCGUGCCUAAUACAUGCAAGUCGAGCGAACAGACGAGGAGCUUGCUCCUCUGACGUUAGCGGCGGACGGGUGAGUAACACGUGGAUAACCUACCUAUAAGACUGGGAUAACUUCGGGAAACCGGAGCUAAUACCGGGUAAUAUAUUUAACCGCAUGGUUCAAUAGUGAAAGACGGUUUUGCUGUCACUUAUAGAUGGAUCCGCGCCGCAUUAGCUAGUUGGUAAGGUAACGGCUUACCAAGGCAACGAUGCGUAGCCGACCUGAUAGGGUGAUCGGCCACACUGGAACUGAGACACGGUCCAGACUCCUACGGGAGGCAGCAGUAGGGAAUCUACCGCAAUGGGCGAAAGCUUGACGGAGCAACGCCGCGUGAGUGAUGAAGGUCUUCGGAUCGUAAAACUCUGUUAUUAGGGAAGAACAAAUGUGUAAGUAACUAUGCACGUCUUGACGGUACCUAAUCAGAAAGCCACGGCUAACUACGUG
rnacentral:rRNA from 1 species